rnacentral:rRNA from 1 species
CACGUAGGGUGCGAGCGUUGUCCGGAAUUAUUGGGCGUAAAGAGCUCGUAGGCGGUGUGUCGCGUCGGCCGUGAAAACUUGGGGCUUAACUCUGAGCGUGCGGUCGAUACGGGCAUCACUUGAGUUCGGCAGGGGAGACUGGAAUUCCUGGUGUAGCGGUGAAAUGCGCAGAUAUCAGGAGGAACACCGGUGGCGAAGGCGGGUCUCUGGGCCGAUACUGACGCUGAGGAGCGAAAGCAUGGGGAGCGAACAGGAUUAGAUACCCUGGUAGUCCAUGCCGUAAACGUUGGGCGCUAGGUGUGGGGACCAUUCCACGGUUUCUGUGCCGCAGCUAACGCAUUAAGCGCCCCGCCUGGGGAGUACGGCCGCAAGGCUAAA